UCUUUUGCCUGUGUCAAUUGGCCCAAUCAUUACCGCGGAAAGUAGGGGUGCUCAGGGUGCUGCAGCAACCCCGGAAAAAUACGAAUAAAAAACUCAAGCAGUAAGGCUGAAAUCAGCAAGACAAGUUGCUGAAAUACAGUCAAGACAAACCAAUGGUAGCUUUUUCCGUUGGAUUUGAGGUUUUCUACAGAAAUGUCCAGACAAAUAUUGGUCACUGCUACAACACCAACACAGGACCUGAGCCCUAGGACCAUGCCCCAGGACUACCUGACAUGAUGACUCCUUGCUGUCCCCAGUCCACCUGGCCAUGCUGCUGCUCCAGUUUCAACUGGCCUGGGCCCUAGGACCAUGUCCCAGGACUACCUGACAUGAUGACUCCUUGCUGUCCCCAGUCCACCUGGCCAUGCUGCUGCUCCAGUUUCAACUGUUCUGCCUUACUAUUAUUCAACCAUGCUGGUCAUUUAUGAACAUUUGAACAUCUUGGCCACGUUCUGUUAUAAUCUCCACCCGGCACAGCCAGAAGAGGACUGGCCACCCCACAUAUGCUCUCUCUAAUUCUCUCUUUCUUUCUCUCUCUCGGAGGACCUGAGCCCUAGGACCGUGCCCCAGGACUACCUGACAUGAUGGCUCCUUGCUGUCCCCAGUCCACCUGACUGUGCUGCUGCUCCAGUUUCAACUGUUCUGCCUUAUUAUUAUUCGACCAUGCUGGUCAUUUAUGAACAUUUGAACAUCUUGGUCAUGUUCUGUUAUAAUCUCUACCCGGCACAGCCAGAAGAGGACUGGCCACCCCACAUAGCCCGGUUCCUCUCUAGGUUUCUUCCUAGGUUUUGGCCUUUCUAGGGAGUUUUUCCUAGCCACCGUGCUUUUACACCUGCAUUGUUUGCUGUUUGGGGUUUUAGGCUGGGUUUCUGUACAGCACUUUGAGAUAUCAGCUGAUGUACGAAGGGCUAUAUAAAUAAAUUUGAUUUGAUU